UUAAAACACCGAUUCUCGUACGAUCACCGAAGUUAAGCAACGUCGAACUCGGUCAGUGCUUAGAUGGGUAAUAGCUUGGGAAUACCAGCUGCUGUG